GACGAACGCUGGCGGCGUGCCUAAUACAUGCAAGUAGAACGCAGUUGCGAACGGGUGAGUAACGCGUAGGUCACUGCCUGGUAGCGGGGGAUAACUAUUGGAAACGAUAGCUAAUACCGCAUACUACCAGAUGGACCUGCGUUGUAUUAUCUCGUUGGUGGGGUAACGGCUCACCAAGGCAACGAUACAUAGCCGACCUGGGAGGGUGUUCGGCGACGCAGGGACUGAGACACGGCCCGGACUCCGACGGGGAGCCGCAGUAGGGAAUCUUCGGCGAUGGGGGGAACCCUGACCGAGCAACGCCGGCAGAGUUAAGAAGGUUUUCGGGUCGUAAAGCUCUGUUGUUUAGGAAGCGGUACUUGACCAGAAAGGGACGGCUAACUACGUGCCAGCAGCCGCGGUAAUUC
rnacentral:rRNA from 1 species